rnacentral:rRNA from 1 species
UCAUGGCGCAGCUACCAUGCAGUCGAGCGGUAACAUUUCAAAAGCUUGCUUUUGAAGAUGACGAGCGGCGGACGGGUGAGUAAUGCCUGGGAAUUUGCCCAUUUGUGGGGGAUAACAGUUGGAAACGACUGCUAAUACCGCAUACGCCCUACGGGGGAAAGCAGGGGACCUUCGGGCCUUGCGCUGAUGGAUAAGCCCAGGUGGGAUUAGCUAGUAGGUGAGGUAAAGGCUCACCUAGGCGACGAUCCCUAGCUGGUCUGAGAGGAUGAUCAGCCACACUGGGACUGAGACACGGCCCAGACUCCUACGGGAGGCAGCAGUGGGGAAUAUUGCACAAUGGGGGAAACCCUGAUGCAGCCAUGCCGCGUGUGUGAAGAAGGCCUUCGGGUUGUAAAGCACUUUCAGCGAGGAGGAAAGGGUGUAAGUUAAUACCUUACAUCUGUGACGUUACUCGCAGAAGAAGCACCGGCUAACUCCGUGCCAGCAGCCGCGGUAAUACGGAGGGUGCGAGCGUUAAUCGGAAUUACUGGGCGUAAAGCGUGCGCAGGCGGUUUGUUAAGCGAGAUGUGAAAGCCCCGGGCUCAACCUGGGAACCGCAUUUCGAACUGGCAAACUAGAGUCUUGUAGAGGGGGGUAGAAUUCCAGGUGUAGCGGUGAAAUGCGUAGAGAUCUGGAGGAAUACCGGUGGCGAAGGCGGCCCCCUGGACAAAGACUGACGCUCAGGCACGAAAGCGUGGGGAGCAAACAGGAUUAGAUACCCUGGUAGUCCACGCCGUAAACGAUGUCUACUCGGAGUUUGGUGUCUUGAACACUGGGCUCUCAAGCUAACGCAUUAAGUAGACCGCCUGGGGAGUACGGCCGCAAGGUUAAAACUCAAAUGAAUUGACGGGGGCCCGCACAAGCGGUGGAGCAUGUGGUUUAAUUCGAUGCAACGCGAAGAACCUUACCUACUCUUGACAUCCACAGAACCUUGUCAGAGAUGAAUUGGUGCCUUCGGGAACUGUGAGACAGUGCUGCAUGGCUGUCGUCAGCUCGUGUGUGAAAUGUUGGGAUUAGUCCCGCACGAGCGCAACCCCUAUCCUUACUUGCCAGCGGGUCAUGCCGGGAACUUUAAGGAG